GCAUGAAUUACCAUGGUACAUAUAUCUACGCUCGUCAUUUCGCGUAUACAUCACUCACGCAUGUAGCAAAUAAUGUCAUUUAUUAGUAAAAAAUUUAUCAACCAAAGUUAGGCAAGACACUUACUUUUUCCAACUAGUCUAAAACUCUAAAAUCACUUUUCCUUCAGAAAUAACCUCCAAUCGAUUCAAAUCUAACAAACACCAUCCAAGAAAGUCAUCAAUGCUAUAAUAAGCAAUCUCAAUCAAUAAGCUUCGAUCUUUGA
rnacentral:lncRNA from 1 species